rnacentral:rRNA from 1 species
UACAGAGGAUGCAAGCGUUAUCCGGAAUGAUUGGGCGUAAAGCGUCUGUAGGUGGCUUUUUAAGUCCGCCGUGAAAGUCCAGGGCUCAACCCUGGAAUGCCGGUGGAAACUGUCGGGCUAGAGUCCGGAAGAGGCGAGUGGAAUUCCUGGUGUAGCGGUGAAAUGCGCAGAUAUCAGGAGGAACACCAAUGGCGAAGGCAGCUCGCUGGGACGGUACUGACGCUGAGACGCGAAAGCGUGGGGAGCAAACAGG